rnacentral:SRP_RNA from 1 species
GCCACACAUGGCAGCAUAGGCUUGUCAUCCCUGCUACCAGGGAGGCUGAGGUUAAGGCUGGUGACUUCUUGAGGUCAGGAGUUCAGAGUUCACAGUGGACUAAGCCAACCUGGUGACCACACUAAGUCUGGCACCAACAUGGUGAGCCCCUGAGAGCUGGUGGGGCGGAGGGGCCUAAGGAGGGGUGAACUAGCCCAGGCUGGAAACAGAGCAGGUCAAAGCUUUGUGCUGACCAGUAGUAGCUCCAGGCCUGUAAGUGGUCACUGCCUCUCCAGCCUGGGCAAGACCGGGGGACCCAGUCCA